rnacentral:misc_RNA from 1 species
CACCACUCAAGCCUCGCUUGGUAUUGGGCAACGCGGUCCGCCGCGUGCCUCAAAUCGACCGGCUGGGUCUUCUGUCCCCUAAGCGUUGUGGAAACUAUUCGCUAAAGGGUGUUCGGGAGGCUACGCCGUAAAACAACCCCUUUGUAA